rnacentral:rRNA from 1 species
AGUGAACGCUGGCGGUAGGCCAAACAAAGGAAGGUGGAACGGAGGCAAGUUAAAGGCUGGCCUUAACGGGGGGGGAGGGGCGGCGGGGGGGGGAAAAAAUCGGAAUUACUUUUUUCGUGGGGGAUAAGGAAGGGAACCUAAGGUUAUUACCGCUAAGGACUAAGGGGGGAAGGCAGGGAUCCUUCGACCUUGGGCGAAUGGAUUAGGCGGAUGUCGGAUUAGCUAGUUGGCGGGGUAAAGGCCCACCAAGGCGACGAUCCGUAGCUGGUCUGAGAGGAUGAUCAGCCACACUGGAACUGAGACACGGUCCAGACUCCUACGGGAGGCAGCAGUGGGGAAUAUUGGACAAUGGGCGCAAGCCUGAUCCAGCCAUACCGCGUGGGUGAAGAAGGCCUUCGGGUUGUAAAGCCCUUUUGUUGGGAAAGAAAAGCAGCAGGUUAAUACCCCGCUGUUCUGACGGUACCCAAAGAAUAAGCACCGGCUAACUUCGUG